UGGAGCAUGUGGUUUAAUUUCGAAGCAAACGCGCAGAACCCUUACCAGCCCUUGACAUGGGGAAGUUUGGUCUUUGGAGGACGAAGGCCUUCAGUUCGGCUGGGCUCCCGCACAGGUGCUGCAUGGGCUGUCGUCAGCUCGUGUCGUGAGAUGUUGGGUUAAGUCCCGCAACGAGCGCAACCCUUGUCCUCAGUUGCCAUCGGGUAGGGCCGGGCACUCUGGGGAGACUGCCGGUGACAAGCCGGAGGAAGGCGGGGAUGACGUCAAGUCCUCAUGGCCCUUAUGGGCUGGGCUACACACGUGCUACAAUGNCGGUGACAGUGGGCAGCGAAGGCGCAAGCCGGAGCGAAUCUCCAAAAGCCGUCUCAGUUCGGAUUGCACUCUGCAACUCGGGUGCAUGAAGUUGGAAUCGCUAGUAAUCGUGGAUCAGCAUGCCACGGUGAAUACGUUCCCGGGCCUUGUACACACCGCCCGUCACACCAUGGGAGUUGGUUUGACCCGAAGCCGGUGCGCUAACCGCAAGGAGGCAGCCGACC
rnacentral:rRNA from 1 species